ensembl:lncRNA
GUUUGGAGUUAAUUUUAAGUCCGUUUCAGUUGACUGAUUUAGUCAUCUAAUUAAAGCAUGCUAAAAGCAUUCCUGCUGUUUCACAUUCCUCAAUUCUAAAGCUGAGCAGCAGUUCAGUUUGCUGGCACUUUGCUGAUCCAUCAACUACUUUCUCAAUAUCCAUUUGAUGAGGUGAAUCUGCCAUUUAGGUGAACGAGUCCUUUAAUGGAGUACCUCACCUCAAUAACUCCUUCUCCUUAUCCUCCGCUCCACUGUCGUCUUCCAUCAUACCGUUCGCCUCCUCCUCUUCUUCAUUUUCAUCCUCUUUCGGCAGCUGUUCCAUCUCCUUGGGCGUCUGCUGAAAGACAUGGGGAAAAGCCGCCUCUGCCUCUUCUUUGGGCUUCACCAGCUCAACUUCCACCAGAUCGUUCUCCUCUUCCUCCUCCUCUUUUUCCUUCUUCACUUUGCGCAGUCCCGCCUUUCUGGGCGGGGUCACAGCCGCCGGAGGCGGGCUUCUCUUCAGAACGGACACGGUCACCGCACUGCGCCCUCGGGGUGGAGUUAAUACCAGGGGGGAGGAGUUUCCCCCAACGGCGGAGGAAGGGGAUUGGGUGGCCGGACGUUGAGGAGACAGGGAGAACGCGGUGGCGCUCCCCAGUGGUGGCUUGUGGGAAUUUUGCUCCACUCCUGAUGAUGACCGAGGUUGCUGCUGGGACUGAGUGUGGUGUGUGGCGUGCGCGGCCGCCAGGUGGGGCAUAAAGCGCUCGAUGAGCGCGGCGCGGAUCUCAGGCUGGUUGGUGUGGUGCUUGUCCAGGUGGCGCCCCAGUGAGCGGAAGUGGCGGCCGCAGUAGGCGCAGCUCAGCUUCUGGGGGGGCACGCCCAUGCCAACCCCCCUGGCGAUGUUAAUACUGAUGUUCGCCGUCGUGUUGGGCCCCAACGGAGCGGGGGAUUUGAACAGAGAAGGGCGAGAAGAGGUGGAGGAGGAGGGAGGGGGGGAGAAGGUGAGGGGGCGGUAUGAAGAGGAGAGGGGAGGGCGGCCCGGGGAUGUCCGGUGAGGGGUGGUUCUCUUUUUGGAAGGUGUGCGUCUCUGACCCCCGUCCUCGCCCUCCUCAUUCUGGGGAUCAGAGUCGCUGGCGUUGGAGUGGGAGAGGGGGGAGGAAGAGGGGGACAGGGGCCAGGAAGGGGUGAGGUAGUCCUGGGCUGAGAGAGAGGAGGGCACAAGCCCAGACUCUUCCUCCUGAGAGAGAGAGAGAGAGUAGAGAUAGAGAGUAGAGAGAGAGAAGAGAAAGAAUGAGGGAGAGAGAGACAAGAGAAA